CUAUGAAUCACUGUCUCAAGAAUCCGAUCAGAAUGACAAUGAAGCCUUUAUUGAGCCACUACAUUAAGAGAAUAUAUUGCUUUACUGCCUUCAGUACCAGUGUUACGUAAAUGCAUGUGUCAGAAGUCUCAUAGACCUUACAUGACAACUCUUGUAGCUAAGAAAGUGAUUCUGAGGUGUACAUUUGUCUUGCCUUUUUAAAUUUAUAAACCUGCCCUAAAAGGAGAUGCAUAUCUGGGAAACUGAACUGUCUUUCUGCAGUUUAGCCUUCAUGUACAUAAAAUAUGCCAUUAAUUUUAUUGGGGGAGAAAGUCCAUCCAAAAAUGUUGCCUACAGCUAUGAGUUAAGAGUGUCUGUACAGUGUGUAGCUUUUAUUUUCUAAAACCACAGAUAGGGCAUGUAUAUGAAUUAUAAAUAUAUAAAUACGAUUUUGUAUUAAAGUUUUGUAGUUUAUGGCAAAAUCUGGUUCUGUGGUAGGCUAAGUACAGUCCCUGUGAAGGAAUGUUUGUGGCUCAUGUCAGUGUGUGAAUGCAUAGACAAUUUGAAGUUUUUGAUAUAUUUGUGAUAUUUAUCUUCCUUGAGCACUGCAAUCUCACCCCCCCCACCCCCACCCAGGGAAUUCAGUGGGAAUGUUUAUCGUGACUUUGUCCUCUGUUGCAUUUUAAAGUUAUUUCCUGUAAUUUAUUUUCAGUACAUAAUUAAAAAUUUGUUGUAUAUAUAAAAUGAAACUUGUGAUUCUUUUUUAAGGAAUCCUUCAAGUAUGUAUUCCAUUACACAAACCAUAUUUGUUUAUACUGAAAAGAGCAUGAGCAGGAAACACCCAAGCGAGAGCGCUAAGAUCAUCCCAGGAUUUGUUCAAAGCUCUCCCAUGGCCCCUGGGGCCCUGCCACUGGGCAGAGUGGCCCAGGAGGCUUUUUAGAUCUCUAGGGUGUUACAACUUUGCUGUGGCCUUGGCAGUGAUGGAGGAGGGACACUGGGAACACGUUAGAAGACAGGUAUUGAACUGAAAUCAAAUUUACGAGCACACGUGUUUAUUGGGCCUUUGUGCAGGUAUGUUGACGGAGAGUGCUGAGUUGGCGGUGGGGAGGGCUCCCUGA
rnacentral:lncRNA from 1 species